rnacentral:rRNA from 1 species
CUACGGGACGCUGCAGUAAAGAAUCUUCCACAAUGGGCGAAAGCCUGAUGGAGCGACACCGCGUGCAGGAUGAAGGCUUUCGGGUCGUAAACUGCUUUUCUGAGGGAAGAAUUAUGACGGUACCUUAGGAAUAAGCACCGGCUAACUCCGUGCCAGCAGCCGCGGUAAUACGGAGGGUGCAAACGUUACCCGGAAUCAUUGGGCGUAAAGCGUCCGCAGGCUGCGCAGUAAGUCAGAUAUUAAAUCUUGAGGCUCAACUUCAAGCUCGUAUUUGAAACUGCUGUGCUAGAGACUUUCAGAGGUACGUGGAAUUCUUCAUGUAGGGGUAAAAUCCGUAGAUAUGAAGAGGAACACCAAAAGCGAAGGCAGCGUACUGGGAAAGUUCUGACGCUCAUGGACGAAAGCGUGGGGAGCAAACUGGAUUAGAUACCCUGGUAGUC